rnacentral:rRNA from 1 species
GUAGUUAGCCGGGGCUUCCUCCAAGGGUACCGUCAUUAUUCUUCCCCAAGGACAGAAGUUUACGACCCAAAGGCCUUCUUCCUUCACGCGGCGUUGCUGCAUCAGGCUUGCGCCCAUUGUGCAAUAUUCCCCACUGCUGCCUCCCGUAGGAGUCUGGACCGUUUCUCAGUUCCAGUGUGGCCGAUCAGCCUCUCAGCUCGGCUACCCAUCGUAGACUUGGUGGGCCGUUGCCCCCGCCAACUAUCUAAUGGGACGCGAGCCCCUCUCCCUGCGGAUUUCUCCUUUGACCCCUCUGCCAUGCGACAGUGUGGUCUUAUGCGGUAUUAGCACCAGUUUCCCGGUGUUAUCCCCCUCACGAAAGUCAGGUUGCUCACGCGUUACUCACCCGUCCGCCACUAAGCUAAAAUCCGAAAAACUUAGCUCCGUUCGACUUGCCAUGUGUUAGGCACGCCGCCAGCGUUCGUCCUGAGCCAGAAUCAAACUCUAGA